GACAGAGGUGCCGAGCGUUAGGCGGAAUCACUGGGCUUAAAGCGUGUGUAGGCGGAUCCGUAAGUACCUUGUGAAAUCCCACGGCUCAACCGUGGAACUGCUCGGUAUACUGCGGGUCUUGAGCCACUUAGGGGCAACCGGAACAAACGGUGGAGCGGUGAAAUGCGUAGAUAUCGUUUGGAACGCCGAUGGUGAAAACAGGUUGCUGGGAGUGUGCUGACGCUGAGACACGAAAGCCAGGGGAGCGAACGGG
rnacentral:rRNA from 1 species